GUGGGGAAUCUUGCGCAAUGGGCGAAAGCCUGACGCAGCCAUGCCGCGUGGAUGAUGAAGGUCUUAGGAUUGUAAAAUCCUUUCACCGGCGAAGAUAAUGACUGUAGCCGGAGAAGAAGCCCCGGCUAACUUCGUGCCAGCAGCCGCGGUAAUACGAAGGGGGCUAGCGUUGUUCGGAAUUACUGGGCGUAAAGCGCACGUAGGCGGACAUUUAAGUCAGGGGUGAAAUCCCGGGGCUCAACCCCGGAACUGCCUUUGAUACUGGGUGUCUGGAGUAUGGAAGAGGUAAGUGGAAUUCCGAGUGUAGAGGUGAAAUUCGUAGAUAUUCGGAGGAACACCAGUGGCGAAGGCGGCUUACUGGUCCAUUACUGACGCUGAGGUGCGAAAGCGUGAGGAGCAAACAGGAUUAGAUACCCUGGUAGUCC
rnacentral:rRNA from 1 species